rnacentral:rRNA from 1 species
AUGAACGCUGGCGGCGUGCCUAAUACAUGCAAGUCGAACGCGAGCAGCAAUGCUCGAGUGGCGAACGGGUGAGUAAUACAUAAGUAACCUGCCCUAGACAGGGGGAUAACUGCUGGAAACGGCAGCUAAGACCGCAUAGGUAUGGACACUGCAUGGUGACCAUAUUAAAAGUGCCAAGGCACUGGUAGAGGAUGGACUUAUGGCGCAUUAGCUGGUUGGUGAGGUAAUGGCUCACCAAGGCGACGAUGCGUAGCCGACCUGAGAGGGUGACCGGCCACACUGGGACUGAGACACGGCCCAGACUCCUACGGGAGGCAGCAGUAGGGAAUUUUCGGCAAUGGGGGGAACCCUGACCGAGCAACGCCGCGUGAAGGAAGAAGGAAUUCGUUCUGUAAACUUCUGUUAUAAAGGAAGAACGGCGGAUAUAGGGAAUGAUAUCCGAGUGACGGUACUUUAUGAGAAAGCCACGGCUAACUACGUGCCAGCAGCCGCGGUAAUACGUAGGUGGCGAGCGUUAUCCGGAAUUAUUGGGCGUAAAGAGGGAGCAGGCGGCGGCAGAGGUCUGUGGUGAAAGACUGAAGCUUAACUUCAGUAAGCCAUAGAAACCGGGCUGCUAGAGUGCAGGAGAGGAUCGUGGAAUUCCAUGUGUAGCGGUGAAAUGCGUAGAUAUAUGGAGGAACACCAGUGGCGAAGGCGACGGUCUGGCCUGUAACUGACGCUCAUUCCCGAAAGCGUGGGGAGCAAAUAGGAUUAGAUACCCUAGUAGUCCACGCCGUAAACGAUGAGUACUAAGUGUUGGGAGUCAAAUUUCAGUGCUGCAGUUAACGCAAUAAGUACUCCGCCUGAGUAGUACGUUCGCAAGAAUGAAACUCAAAGGAAUUGACGGGGGCCCGCACAAGCGGAGGAACAUGUGGUUUAAUUCGAUGAUACGCGAGGAACCUUACCCGGGCUUGAAUUGCAGAGGAAGGAUUUGGAGACAAUGACGCCCUUCGGGGUCUCUGUGAAGGUGCUGCAUGGUUGUCGUCAGCUCGUGUCGUGAGAUGUUGGGUUAAGUCCCGCAACGAGCGCAACCCUUGUCGCUAGUUACCAUCAUUAAGUUGGGGACUCUAGCGAGACUGCCAGUGACAAGCUGGAGGAAGGCGGGGAUGACGUCAAAUCAUCAUGCCCCUUAUGACCUGGGCUACACACGUGCUACAAUGGAUGGAGCAGAGGGAAGCGAAGCCGCGAGGUGAAGCAAAACCCAUAAAACCAUUCUCAGUUCGGAUUGUAGUCUGCAACUCGACUACAUGAAGUUGGAAUCGCUAGUAAUCGCGAAUCAGCAUGUCGCGGUGAAUACGUUCUCGGGCCUUGUACACACCGCCCGUCACACCAUGAGAGUUGAUAACACCCGAAGCCGGUGGCCUAACCGCAAGGAGGGAGCUGUCUAAGGUGGGAUUGAUGAUUGGGGUG